AAGAUUGCUUCAUUUAAGUGGAAGCAGAUGAUCGAAGUACAGGCUAAUCGUCAAAGAACAGCUAAUGAUUGUGCGGGAGCUUUUUAAUUGGCCAUGACCCACUGUAUAUACUGGGAUGGUCUUUGAUGUAAGAGAUCGAAGCUUCCAAUUCUGAAUAUACUAGUCUCUGCAAAUAGAAAAAUCCUCUCGGCCAAGUAUCUAGCAACAUGUUAAAUCAACCGAAUGUUAUUAUGGCUUAUAUUCAAUCAUACUUUACCUUGCAUGGUGUCUCUCGUGGGUGCAUGAUGCAUAUUGCACUGUUGCACGAAUCCAGAUAUAUCUAUAUGUAUAUGUUACUUCUAAUUCUUCAAACUGAAUAAAUCUCCAUCAAAUUCAUUAGGUCACAUAUGCAUACCUUCAAAUACAAUAUCUCCAAGCUCCCUCACGUUGCAUAUGGCUAAUAUUUGAUUUAACUUACUAAACCAACUUGAAAAACAACUAAUUGCCUAAUCACUCAUUCAUUAAGAUCAUAACUAUCC
rnacentral:lncRNA from 1 species